rnacentral:lncRNA from 1 species
AUGGCUGGCCCGGGUGGGGAAGGCAGGAGGCGGCGAUCCCUGCGGAGGGGGCCGUUCGCCAGCUCCGAGGCAGAAAGUGCCACGACUCCACACGCGCGCACGCAGCCAGCGAGCGGCCGGAGCGGACGGCGGACGGGGCGGGCAGCGUCGGGAUCGAGGCGCCUGCAGCUGCUUAGGGGGCGGCUUCUCGGCGGAGGCUUGGCCGGCUCCUCUCUCUCCCGCUUCCGCGGCGGCGGCGGCGGCUCCUGCCCUCUCGCUCUCCCUCCCGCGUCUCCGGCUGCAGGCAGAGAAACAGUUGAUCCUAGACUCCGACCCCUUCUGAUGGGAGGAACUGGCCCACUCAUUUCACGCAGAACCCUGAGAGAUCAGGUUCUGGCCCUCAGCCCAGGUGGUGAAAGGAAAACCAGCCAGGAUGGAUAUUUACGACACUCAGACCUUGGGGGUUGUGGUCUUUGGUGGAUUCAUGGUUGUUUCUGCCAUCGGCAUCUUCCUCGUGUCAACCUUCUCCAUGAAGGAGACGUCGUAUGAAGAAGCUCUGGCCAACCAGCGCAAGGAAAUGGCGAAGACCAACCACCAGAAAGUGGAGAAGAAGAAGAAGGAGAAGACAGUGGAGAAGAAAGGAAAGACCAAGAAAAAGGAGGAGAAGCCCAACGGAAGAUACCUGACCAUGAGCCCACCCCUGGAGUGACCAUCCUCCCCAACCUUGUGGACUUUGGUCCCCAGCCAGCGAGAAGGGUAGUUCAUACUCGUGGUUGGGAGUGUGUCAACAGACAAAGGGUCCUCUCCCCAAGGUGAGGAGUGGACCUGGUGACGCUGUCCCCCUCCCUCUUUGCAGCCUCUGGAUGUGGAAUUCAGACCUGAGGUCUUACUUGGUCAGCCUCCCAGGACUGAUAUUUCCUGUUUCCUAAUGUGCGGAUUCACAGGCUCCGAUUUUCCUCACCACACGUUGAUCACCUUUGGGAUUGUAAUGUGCAGGUUCUCAUCUCUGCCCCUGGGUGGGUACUUGUGUUUAUCAGGCCUGGGGAAAAGGGGGCAGCAGAGAAAGAGCGCUCAUGAGACCCGCUGGCCUGGAUGCUGUGAGCGAGAGCCAGCAGCUGUGUUUGAUUUGACUCACAUGGUAUUCUUAAUAUCAGUCAACUUGAGUUGAGGAGGGGAAAAAUCUGUCCUGAUAUGAGAAGGCAAAAGAUACAUCAACCUAGUGCUCACGUUUCUGCAGUCAUCACCUGUGACCGGGUGACUCCUGCUCCUGAUGUAGUUGGCACUCUGACACAGUCCUUACCACUUCCAGUUACCUAACACUGCCCGUGCUUGUGUUCAUGUGCAUCUUUGACCCUGUGGUGGGGAACAUCUUGACCUGGGGUCACAGCUCCUGAGUCGCAUGGGCGCCACAUGCCCUGGUCAUGGAGCUGCCUGCUGCCAUCUCUCCAUGGCUUCAUGUGUCCCAGCUUGUGUAAAAGUUGCUCACUUCUGAGGGGGCAGGGAGAACAGGUGACAGCAGAGAUUGCCUGGUUUGUUUCUUCUUUGAUUUUAUCAGUCUGAAGGAUUAGUGGAACCAUAUGUUAGGUGCUGCGAGUGGGGACGGUGACUGUCAAAUGCCUCGGUUU